GGCCUGUGAUGUACGAGACUUGUCUGUACCAUCUGAGAUCUUUGAUGUAUUCACACUCUCUAACUUUCUGAGGCCG